UAUCUUUCCUGUCCUGUAUGUCUGGUUUCCUUUGCAAAGAUCCAAGAAUGCAGGCAGGAAGGGAGCAGUAGCAUAGAGCAGUAACUCCUUGAUCUGAACAAACAUUGGACCAAGAACUGUGAGACACAAGAUUAAGAAAUGUUGAACAAAAACAACACAAAGGAUCUUCUCUACUUGCCAGUCUGGGAUAAGUAACAGUAACUCCAGUGCCUCUGCCUGAGAAACAGAAGCUUUGCUGAUUGGUUACAUUUUCUUCCUGUCUUUUUAAAGCUCACAACAUGUUUACUCUUCCCAUUAGAUGAAAUGCCACUUAUUAUCCAUAAAUUGUCAAAAGUGGUUUUUAAUAGCUCCGAAAUUUCAUCAGCCGGUUCAAGAUGUGUCCUAGGACAUAAAGGUGACAUCCUUGCCUUGGCACUGACCACUCCACUAACCAAGCUAAUUAACAGUAGUAAGUCAAUCAGCUGUCUGAUGAUGGAGAAGGUCCGUGGAGCCACACUGAGUUUCAUUUAUCCAUGGACUGAGGCAUACCAAACAGGAUGCUUUGAAAAUGCCACCAUUGCACUUUUAACUUUUACAAUGUGCACUCUGCUGGUCUGAUCAUCUGCACUCUGUGCAACAUCUGUAGUUCUAAGUGAUUCUUUCCAUAUGGUGAAAGUUCUGGAGACUGACAGGCUAAUUUGUCCAACCAGAAUGUACUUAUAUAAAUAAGAUUACACUAAGAUCUUAGGGGCAAGGGGAAUUUGCAGUGCCAUAUGUGUUAAUUUCUGUGCCAGAUAAAAUGAUUUUAAUCCACUGCAACUGUAUGUGCUUUGCCCGGGAAAAUUAUACU